CCUACGGGAGGCAGCAGUGGGGAAUAUUGGACAAUGGGCGCAAGCCUGAUCCAGCAAUGCCGCGUGAGUGAUGAAGGCCUUAGGGUCGUAAAGCUCUUUUACCAGGGAUGAUAAUGACAGUACCUGGAGAAUAAGCUCCGGCUAACUCCGUGCCAGCAGCCGCGGUAAUACGGAGGGAGCUAGCGUUGUUCGGAAUUACUGGGCGUAAAGCGUACGUAGGCGGUUAUUCAAGUCAGAGGUGAAAGCCCGGGGCUCAACCCCGGAACGGCCUUUGAAACUAGGUAGCUAGAAUCUUGGAGAGGUCAGUGGAAUUCCGAGUGUAGAGGUGAAAUUCGUAGAUAUUCGGAAGAACACCAGUGGCGAAGGCGACUGACUGGACAAGUAUUGACGCUGAGGUACGAAAGCGUGGGGAGCAAACAGGAUUAGAUACCCUGGUAGUCCACGCCGUAAACGAUGAUAACUAGCUGUUCGGGCACUUGGUGCUCGAGUGCGCGAGCUACGCAUAAGUUAUCCGUCCGUCGGGUAGGUACGGUCGCGAGAAGUUAAACUACGAAAGGAAAGUUAGUAACGGUCGUGAGACGUGCCGAACGGACGACGACGAGGGAGGAGG
rnacentral:rRNA from 1 species